ensembl:lncRNA
AUACUUGGAAGUUUUGCUAACAAGAAUUCUUUUGGUCCUCUGCUAUAGGAGGCUGCUGUGGUUUUGCAUAUAUAUUUAUUGAUUACAAUAUUUAUUAUAUAAAACACAAGUAUUAGUAGUAGUUAGUGAAGUACUGGUAAAAAUUGACAAAAGAUUAACUGCCCCUGUGGAGCCACUGCUGGUAGAAAAUUGACCAUAUUGAGCAAUGUUACCACCAAUUAUUAAGGACAUGUGACUGUGGAGCUCUGAAGUGGCCGUAUAUCCACAGUGUAGGCCCACACUUAGGGCUACACCUGGGCCUCAAAGCAGACCAAGUGUGUGCAGGCUGAGGUUAAUGUUUGGGCCCACUGGGCACAUCUGGAUACAGUGUGCACCCCUAGAAUGAGUGGGAUUAUUGUGUGAUUGCCCUACCAUGCUGCCCCACAGAAAACCCACGCCUACCAUUAGUGGACCAGCAUGGGCAUUUACUGCUGUGGAUCCACCACAGCUUUUUUUAAGCAGACAGCUGGUUGUGUCUCUUUCACUAAUGGAUAAUUUUCUAGUUUAUGAGCACAGUUUGCUGGAAAAACAUUUGCCAUAAUGAAACUGAAGGCCUGUGUUUAUAUGGUAUUUACCCCCACCCUUAACAUCAUUAGCGCCUCCUGUUACAGUAACAUUAACAGUAUCUGUGUGCAGAGCAGUGAGAGCGCUGUAGUGUGAACCGGGUGCAGCAGACUACGAUAUAUAAGAGCAGACAGCUGUCAUGGUUGGUCUGGCAUCAACCCACUGGCUGCGUUCACACAACCUCGCCUCUGUUUGCACAAAGUGAGGGCAGAGCAGUGUUACCUGUCCCCAGAGAGCACACCCCUGCUCCUGUAUAACCCAGAGUCAAAUUCAUGAGUCUUAUGUUAUGAUAAUUGGGUUUUCUUCUUAUUGUAGGGAGGCUUUGGGUGAUCGUGAUGCUCUAUAGUCAAGACGUUUAUCAUAUUCAUGACUGCAGCUGGGCCAAAUGGAGGAUGUAUCAACAUCUGCGGCCUCCAACAGAUGCUGCUGUCAGACGGAGUAGAUGACCCACAUCUGCACAAAAGCAGAAUCAUCAAAGGGGAAUAUCUAGAGUAUCUACAACAUUACCUUAAUACACGCCACAUUUUAAAGCCCUUUAUCCUGCUCUAGUUAAAAUAUGGCUCUCAGCUUAUCUCUCAUUUAAGUUUAGUACAAAUUGUUUCUUAUUUUCGUAGCUUUGUGUAAUUACAUUUUGCAAGAUUUCUGCAAAUAAGAGCUUGAAGGAUGGCAUGGUGGUGACUCAGAGCCUUUCUGUGGGGAGUUUCCAUGUUUGCCACUGGUGAUUCCAAAUUGGCUGUGGAUUUGAGGUGGAUAAAGUUUGACCAGUGUAGGAAUCUAAUGUUUGAGUGGCUUUUCUGAUGCACUUUGAGCUGUCAGUAAGAUCCAUUAUAUUUCAAGUCCAGAAGCGAAAAACAAAUUGAAAACCCCUAAAAUGUUGCCCUUACUCCCACCAUUACAUAGACUGUAUAUAAAAUAUGGAUGUAGUCACCAUGCCACCUGUUGGUUUGGUUUGUAGUCACCUGUUGGUUUGUGAAGUUCCAUCUUAAAGCCUUGAGUUCCCCUUUUUAUUUUAAAGCUUUAAGAGGCGAGCGGGAGACCUGACUAAGAAACUGAGGGACACUGCAAGCUCAUAGUGACUUGUGAUUGACAAGUCAAACAGGUAACAUAGAGAUUGAACAGUCAGUUGUCAGAUUACAGGGCCUCUUUGUUCUCAGGAUAAAAGGGUCGAGGUUCUGGUUGCAUCUAGCAGAGAGACAGGAUAUGAUGUAAGGUGCUUUGUGUGGUGAUGUCAGGAAAGGUAAGGUUUUUAAACGUGUGACAUGAGUAAACCGUGACAUAAUUUACUAAUUAUAAAGCAGCUGCAAACUGAAAAUGAGAUAAGUCAUUUAUAAAGACUGUACAAGCUGCUUUCAGUUUCCUGCCCUAAAGUUUCCAAAACUCUGUCAGUGUAUAAAAGUCAGCGUGUAGCCCACACCGCCAAAAACUACAGGUGCUUUUUUUUUCUCAGCAGCUAAACAAACACCUCUGACGUACAGGAGAAAGUGCAAAAAGAUGCAAGCUCUGUAGCUGUGACCUUUCCCCUUGUACAGGCAAACACCUCCACACCGUACUCACAGCAGCCACCACCCUCCCACCCCCCAGGCACAGCUGCCUGGACUUCAAAGGAGGAAGAGUGGUGCGAUGGCAAAGUCGCACUGCAGCACAAAGUUUACCUUCUGUGUCUCCUUUCUCAUUUCACUUUUUCCACAUUAAUGGAAACCGUUAAUCUUAGCAAAAAGGGUAUUAACUGGUUUGCAUUUUGUUCCAUCUGCUGAAGUUUCUCACCUUUGACCUGUACGGUUAGUACUGUUUUUUGAAGUUUCGCACAAAUGCAAUCAGGCUGCAAAAUCUUUUGCUGCGUUUGUAAUCUUAUAUCUAUGAGAUACAAACCAGGUUUCCCCUAAGAGGUCAGCAAAUUUAAGGAUAGGUGACUCGAGGUGAACAUGAGAGACUGCAUCACAACACAUUUCUGAUGUAAUCAUUUACCCAUCCAGCCAUCAGUUUUCUUAACUACUUAUCCAAUUCUGGGUCGCAAAAGGUCUGUAGCCUAUCCCAGCUGUCAUUUGGCAGUUUUAAUCAUGUUAAUACUAAUUACAUACUUCAUGGUAAUGGGGCUGUUCUGCGUUUAGAAGGAGACAGACGUGUCAUUAAAAAGACAAAGACAACAUAAAAGAAGCCUGCAAAGUAUAAAUAGAGAAAGUCUGAAAGUGCUAAUCAAAAAUAAAAUCAUAAAAGCAAAGACAAAGAAUAGAAGGACAAAAUAAACCACACAGUGAUGAAAAAUGUACAAAGAACAAAAUGAAACUUGCUGGAAGUGGAAAUAUAAAAGCGUUACAACAAGCCAAAACUGGUUUAUAAAGAAGUCUGACAAAAAAAGAUAUAAAAUCCAAGAGGACUAAAACAGGUGCCCUGGGGAACUCCUGCCUCUGUUUAUGACGUGGCAAAAGCCACUCGAUUCAUGCUUUUCAACUCACUGCUGAUAUUUAAAGUUGACCUAUUUUCCUUUUUCUCAUUUUCUGUCAAAACUGUUCCGUUGGUGGAAGUUUAUAUUAAACAAG